CGAGAGGGCCGGGUGAUCGCGGCGCCGGGGACCGCGUCCGCACGUGUGCGGGCGUGGGCCCGGUGUCGAGGAAAGUCCGGACUCCUCAGAGCACGGUGGUUGUUAACGGCAACCCGGGGUGACCCGCGGGCUAGUGCCACAGAAAACAGACCGCCUCGACCGUCCCCGGCCAGUUCCGGGGUCGGGCCGGGGUAAGGGUGAAACGGUGCGGUAAGAGCGCACCAGUGCGCCGGGUGACCGGCGUAGCUAGGUAAACCCCACCGGGAGCAAGGUCAAGUGGCCGCGACCGUUUUUUACGGUGCGGCCGUGCCCCGUCGACUGCUCGUCGGUGAAGGGGCAGGUAGACCGCUUGAGGCAGCCGGUGACGGCUGACCCAGAUGGAUGAUCGCCGCCGCACAUGCCCGGGCCCGCGUGCCCGGGGCGGGACAGAAUCCGGCUCACAGGCCCUCUCGACGC
rnacentral:RNase_P_RNA from 1 species